UUAAUUGAAGCCAAAAUAUUGAGGCCUUUCAUUGUUAAUGAAAAUAAUGAUUAAUAAUAAUCCAAUUAAA
rnacentral:tRNA from 1 species